rnacentral:rRNA from 1 species
GAUGAACGCUGGCGGCGUGCCUAAUACAUGCAAGUCGAGCGAACGGACGAGAAGCUUGCUUCUCUGAUGUUAGCGGCGGACGGGUGAGUAACACGUGGAUAACCUACCUAUAAGACUGGGAUAACUUCGGGAAACCGGAGCUAAUACCGGAUAAUAUUUUGAACCGCAUGGUUCAAAAGUGAAAGACGGUCUUGCUGUCACUUAUAGAUGGAUCCGCGCUGCAUUAGCUAGUUGGUAAGGUAACGGCUUACCAAGGCAACGAUGCAUAGCCGACCUGAGAGGGGGACCGGCCACCCGGGAACUGACACCCGGCCCAGCCCCCCACGGGGGGCAGGAGUAGGGAAUCUUCCCAAAGGGGCGAAAGCCUGACGGGGCAACCCCGGGUGAGUGAUGAAGUUUUUCGGAUCGUAAACCGUUUUUAUUAGGGAAAAACAUAUGUGUAAGUAACUGUGCACCUCUUGCCGUUACCAAAUAAAAAAGCCCCGGCUAACUCCUU